rnacentral:tRNA from 1 species
GUGCCCGUAGCUCAGCGGUAGAGCCCCUGGUUGUGGUCCAGGUGGUCGCGAGUUCAAAUCUCGUCGGGCACCCCA